AUUAAUCUGUUGUAUAUUAUGCAUAUCGAUUUUUCGUGUCGGGGGUGUUCUGUUAGGCAGAGCGAUUAGUG
rnacentral:tRNA from 1 species